GAUGAACGCUGGCGGUAUGCUUAACACAUGCAAGUCGAACGGUACCUUCGGGUAUAGUGGCGGACGGGUGAGUAACGCGUGAGAAUCUAUCUUCAGGUCGGGGACAACAGUUAGAAAUGACUGCUAAUACCGGAUGUGCCGAAAGGUAAAAGAUUUAUUGCCUGAAAAAGAGCUCGCGUCAGAUUAGCUAGUAGGUGGUGUAAGAGACUACCUAGGCUUCGAUCUGUAGCUGGUCUGAGAGGACGAUCAGCCACACUGGAACUGAGACACGGUCCAGACUCCUACGGGAGGCAGCAGUGGGGAAUUUUCCGCAAUGGGCGAAAGCCUGACGGAGCAAUACCGCGUGAGGGAAGAAGGCUCUUGGGUCGUAAACCUCUUUUCUCAAGGAAGAUUCAGACGGUACUUGAGGAAUAAGCAUCGGCUAACUCUGUG
rnacentral:rRNA from 1 species